AUGGAAGCACAAAUUUCACUUCAGUGACCCCACUCGGCACCGACUAAGCCAGAAAGCACAAACAAGAAAUUGCGCCAAAGACUGCGAAUUUCCGUUUACCGAGUUGUGGUGGGACCUUAAAUUGUCCAGGUCUACCACGGAUAACAGUAACUGUGAAAACUAUAUGACUGUUUCCACAGGGAGCAGUUUAAGGCGCGAGGCACAGGAAAGAAACACAGAAAUUUAAGAUGACCAUUUCACCUGAGCCAACAUGAUGUGUGUCUGGCACCAAAGAGAAUACUGCUAUUUUACACCCUGUGUAUAUGUUAUUGCUUUCACAGGGUCUUUAUUGCCAUCUUUACUAAUUCCCCACUGAACCAAAAAAAAAAAUACAACGUUGUGCUUUAAGGUCUUUGAUGGCUAUUUCUCCAGCAGCCAAGCGCUUUUGCUGAGGAUGUUUAAGCGUCGGGAUUAAGCAUCCUGGAACUCUCGACCAAAACUGUCUCACUACAGGCAAGAGGAUUUAAGCCUCAUACAUUCAAUAGUUUCUUCUCCUCCAGCCCCUGGAUGACAUUAGUAAACAAAAGGACAGUACGUAUGCUUUAAGGUGGGGGCAUAAGAGGGAUGAUAAUUCAUAGAUAGGAGGGCCAACCUUAUCAUUGGCCAAUUAUAUGGUUUGAAACAGUGAGUGACAUGGGCGGGGCACUCCAUGGGGGGGUUAAAGGCAGCGACACCAGCAGAACAACGACCAGGGCCUAAACGGCUGGAAUAAAAGUGAGGCCAAACAUUACAGCAAGCCUGCUCUUCCUCAUGCACCACCUUCCAGGUUCUGUAAUUCCAAAGAGCUCAGACACGCAGGGCUUCCUUCUAAGGGUCCUUGAAAGCCAUUGUAUGAUUCUGGCUCUAAACCAGGCCAGACCACAGGGACAUGACCAUCCCCACUCUACUAUGUAAUGGACAGUAAAUAUGAGUGGGAGGAAACAUCAGCGUCAUGCUCCCUUUCUGCAGUUCUGCUUCUGUUUUUCUGUUCUCCAUGGUUUUAUCACCUCCGAAUAAGCCAGUGCACUCUCUUGGUUUUCUACAUUACUAUUCUAUCUUUAGACGAUUGAAUCUCACCGUCAUGUUCCUUGACCAAUUAGAUUUCUCAGGCAGUGUGGGCGGGGCAUCAUGGCACAGCAAGGUCAUGGGGGAGAAAAGUCAAGUGACCAGGGGUUUUACAUGUCAAUUGCAGCUCCUUUAUCGUGAUCACAGCAGUAUGAACCCCCCCAUGCCCAUAUCUCAUGAUUUGUUUUGUCACCGCUUGAGUUCUUCUCAGACUGUUUUGAGAAUCUUCUAGAAAGACCUGUCAACUUGCAUUUUAUUUGUGAUAGAGUACUUUAUAUCCAGACUGAUGUUUUGUUUAUGGAUUCUGUUUGGUCAUUUACCUUCAAAGACUAAGACAACAUCAGUGGCAGCAGAAAAACUGCAUCUACUAUGUUCUGCAAAAAAUAUAUAUAUAACUCCUACACAUUACUGACCUAUAAACUGUCUCUGUGUUGUUGGUUAAAUGUCCUGGGGAACUUUCCUGAAAAAUAUAAUACAAUAUCUGCUGGGCUAUUUUUCAAACCAUUUUGGUGCAGAUCAGAAUAUGUUCUCAUCUAUUACUCUUGGUGCUAAAAAAACCAGGGAUGGGUGAAAUGGAUCAAAUAAUUGUAACAAAUAAAUCGAUGCACUUUCAUCAGG